GAUGAACGCUGGCGGUAUGCUUAACACAUGCAAGUCGAACGGAAUCUUCGGAUUUAGUGGCGGACGGGUGAGUAACACGUGAGAACCUACCUUCAGAACGGGGAUAACAGUUGGAAACGACUGCUAAUACCCGAUGUGCCGAAAGGUGAAAGAUUUAUCGUCUGGAGAAGGGCUCGCGGCUGAUUAGCUAGUUGGUAAGGUAAAGGCUUACCAAGGCAACGAUCAGUAACUGGUCUGAGAGGAUGAGCAGUCACACUGGAACUGAGAAACGGUCCAGACUCCUACGGGAGGCAGCAGUGGGGAAUUUUCCGCAAUGGGCGAAAGCCUGACGGAGCAAUACCGCGUGAGGGAGGAAGGUUCUUGGAUUGUAAACCUCUUUUCUAGGGAAUAAAAAAUGAAGNUAC
rnacentral:rRNA from 1 species